rnacentral:rRNA from 1 species
AUCGAACCCGGAGAUAGCUGGUUCUCCUCGAAAUAGCUUUAGGGCUAGCCUCAUGGAUCAUUGAUGGGGGUAGAGCACUGAAUGUGCGCGGGGGCCACAAAGCCUACCAAACGCUAUCAAACUUCGAAUACCAUACAAUGCAGACCAUGGGAGUCAGUCCGCGAGAGAUAAGUUCCGCGGGCAAAAGGGGAACACCCCAGAUCAACCGCUAAGGUCCCCAAGUUCACGUUAAGUGGAGAAGGAUGUGGAAUUGCACAGACAACCAGGAUGUUGGCUCAGAAGCAGCCACACAUUUAAAGAGUGCGUAAUAGCUCACUGGUCGAGUGAUUGUGCGCCGAAGAUGUCCGGGGCUAAACGUGACACCGAAGCGAUGGGUGCGUCUGAAGAAGAUGCGCGGUAGAGGAGCAAUGUGCAGAGGCAGAAGCCGUAUCGAGAGGCACGGUGGACACUGCACAAGAGAGAAUGCCGGUAUGAGUAGCGAGAGGCAUGCGAGAAACAUGCCCGUCGAAAGCCCAAGGUUUCCUGGGGAAGGUUCAUCCGCCCAGGGUAAGUCGGGGCCUAAGCCGAGGACGGAAGUCGUAGGCGAUGGACAGCAGGUGUAGAUUCCUGCACUACCGAUGGAAUGAAGCAGUGACACAGAAGGAUAACUCGAGCAGGGUGAUGGUCAACCCUGUGCAAGCAUCAAGGUUGGGUUGUAGUGAAGUACGCAACCCUAUAAGCUGAGGUGUGAUGCGGACCGAAAUUUCAGUAGGGAAGCGAGUGAGUUCACGCUGGCGAGAAAAGCUGCUAGUAUAUCCAAAGGUACCCGUACCGGAAACCGACGCAGGUGGGCGAGGAGAGAAUCCUGAGACGAACGGGAGAACCCUUGUUAAGGAACUCGGCAAAAUGACCCCGUAACUUCGGGAUAAGGGGUGCCUGCGAGAGCAGGCCGCAGAGAAUAGUCACAAGCGACUGUUUAGCAAAAACACAGGUAUCUGCGAAAGCGAGAGCUGACGUAUAGGUGCUGACACCUGCCCGGUGCUGGAAGGUUAAGGGAACAUGUUAGAGCAAUCGAAGCAUCGAACCGAAGCCCCAGUAAACGGCGGCCGUAACUAUAACGGUCCUAAGGUAGCGAAAUUCCUUGUCGGGUAAGUUCCGACCCGCACGAAUGGUGUAACGAUUUGGGCACUGUCUCAACAGGGGGCCCGGCGAAAUUGUAGUAUACGUGAAGAUGCGUAUUAACCCGCGACCGGACGGAAAGACCCCGUAGAGCUUUACUGUAACUUGAUAUUGAAUCUCGGCAAUUGAUGCACAGAAUAGGUGGGAGACGAAGAAGCAUGUGUUUCGGCAUGUGUGGAGUCAACUUUGGGAUACCACUCUUCGAUUGCUGCGAUUCUAACCGGGACCGUUGAAGCACGGCUCGGGACAUUGUCAGGUGGGCAGUUUGACUGGGGCGGUCGCCUCCUAAAGUGUAACGGAGGCGCUCAAAGGUUCCCUCAGAAUGGUUGGAAAUCAUUCGCAGAGUGUAAAGGUAUAAGGGAGCUUGACUGCGAGAGCUACAACUCGAGCAGGGACGAAAGUCGGGCUUAGUGAUCCGGUGGUUCCGCAUGGAAGGGCCAUCGCUCAACGGAUAAAAGCUACCCUGGGGAUAACAGGCUUAUCUCCCCCAAGAGUUCACAUCGACGGGGAGGUUUGGCACCUCGAUGUCGGCUC